GUGUUCGCUUCAGCAGCACAUAUACUAAAACUGAAAUGAUACAGAGAAGAUUAGCAUGGCCCCUGCACAAAGAUGAUACGCAAAUUCAUGAAGUGUUCCAUAUUUUU
rnacentral:snRNA from 1 species